CGCGUAGGUGGUAGUGUAAGUCUGGGGUGGAAUCCCAGGGCUUAACCCUGGAACUGCCUUGGAAACUGCAUUACUUGAGUCAGUGAGGGGAGGGUAGAAUUCCUGGUGUAGCGGUGAAAUGCGUAGAUAUCAGGAGGAAGGCCUGUGGCGAAGGCGGCCCUCUGGCGCUGGACUGACACUGAGGCGCGAAAGCGUGGGGAGCAAACAGGAUUAGAUACCCUGGUAGUCCACGCCCUAAACGGUGGGCACUAGGUGUAGGGCUCGUAAGGGUUCUGUGCCGAAGGGAAACCAUUAAGUGCCCCGCCUGGGGAGUACGGCCGCAGGGUUGAA
rnacentral:rRNA from 1 species